CCUACGGGAGGCAGCAGUGGGAAAUUUUGGACAAUGGACGCAAGUCUGAUCCAGCCAUGCCGCGUGCGGGAAGAAGGCCUUCGGGUUGUAAACCGCUUUUGUCAGGGAAGAAACGGGUUUCUCUAAUACAGAGACCUAAUGACGGUACCUGAAGAAUAAGCACCGGCUAACUACGUGCCAGCAGCCGCGGUAAUACGUAGGGUGCAAGCGUUAAUCGGAAUUACUGGGCGUAAAGCGUGCGCAGGCGGUUAUGCAAGACAGAGGUGAAAUCCCCGGGCUCAACCUGGGAACUGCCUUUGUGACUGCAUAGCUAGAGUACGGUAGAGGGGGAUGGAAUUCCGCGUGUAGCAGUGAAAUGCGUAGAUAUGCGGAGGAACACCGAUGGCGAAGGCAAUCCCCUGGACCUGUACUGACGCUCAUGCACGAAAGCGUGGGGAGCAAACAGGAUUAGAUACCCUGGUAGUCCACGCCCUAAACGAUGUCAACUGGUUGUUGGGAGGGUUUCUUCUCAGUAACGAAGCUAACGCGUGAAGUUGACCGCCUGGGGAGUACGGCCGCAAGGUUGAAACGUCAAAGUAGUAGUAGGACGUCGAGACGAGUCGACGACGGACACGACGGGAGGGUUAGGAGG
rnacentral:rRNA from 1 species